rnacentral:rRNA from 1 species
GGACCAGACUCCUACGGGAGGCAGCAGUGGGGAAUAUUGCACAAUGGGGGAAACCCUGAUGCAGCGACGCCGCGUGAGCGAUGAAGUAUUUCGGUAUGUAAAGCUCUAUCAGCAGGGAAGAAGAUGACGGUACCUGACUAAGAAGCCCCGGCUAACUACGUGCCAGCAGCCGCGGUAAUACGUAGGGGGCAAGCGUUAUCCGGAUUUACUGGGUGUAAAGGGAGCGUAGACGGCGAUGCAAGCCAGAUGUGAAAGCCCGGGGCUCAACCCCGGGACUGCAUUUGGAACUGUGUGGCUGGAGUGUCGGAGAGGCAGGCGGAAUUCCUGGUGUAGCGGUGAAAUGCGUAGAUAUCAGGAGGAACACCGGCGGCGAAGGCGGCCUGCUGGACUGCGACUGACGUUGAGGCUCGAAAGCGUGGGGAGCGAACAGGAUUAGAUACCCUAGUA